rnacentral:rRNA from 1 species
AGUGGGAAAGGAUGUAGAACUCCCAAAACAACCAGGAUGUUGGCUUAGAAGCAGCCAUCAUUUAAAGAAAGCGUAACAGCUCACUGGUCUAAAUAAGGGGUCUUGCGCCGAAAAUGUACCGGGGCUAAAGCCAUGCACCGAAGCUGAGGAUGUGCACUUUGUGCACGUGGUAGCGGAGCGUUCCGUAAGCCUGUGAAGGGAGACCCGUGAGGGCUCCUGGAGGUAUCGGAAGUGCGAAUGUUGACAUGAGUAACGAUAAAGGGAGUGAGAGACUCCCUCGCCGAAAGACCAAGGGUUCCUGCUUAAAGUUAAUCUGAGCAGGGUGAGCCGGCCCCUAAGGCGAGGCCGAAAGGCGUAGUCGAUGGGAAUGCAGUUAAUAUUCUGCAGCUUGGUGGUAGUGACGGAUGCCGUGUGUUGUAUCUCCUUAUUGGAUUGGGGGUGCAGCGAAGGUGUUCCAGGAAAUAGCUCCACCGUAUAAACCGUACCCGAAACCGACACAGGUGGUCAGGUA